UGGGGAAUAUUGGACAAUGGGGGCAACCCUGAUCCAGCAAUGCCGGGUGUGUGAAGAAGGCCUGCGGGUUGUAAAGCACUUUCAGUGGUGAAGAAAAGCUCGGGGUUAAUACCCCCGGGUCUUGACGUUAGCCACAGAAGAAGCACCGGCUAACUCCGUGCCAGCAGCCGCGGUAAUACGGAGGGUGCGAACGUUAAUCGGAAUUACUGGGCGUAAAGCGCGCGUAGGCGGUUCGGCAAGUGGGAUGUGAAAGCCCCGGGCUCAACCUGGGAACUGCAUUCCAAACUACCGAACUGGAGUAUGGUAGAGGGAGGUAGAAUUUCCUGUGUAGCGGUGGAAUGCGUAG
rnacentral:rRNA from 1 species